ACUAAGCGUACACGGUGGAUGCCCUGGCAGUCAGAGGCGAUGAAGGACGUGCUAAUCUGCGAUAAGCGUCGGUAAGGUGAUAUGAACCGUUAUAACCGGCGAUUUCCGAAUGGGGAAACCCAGUGUGAUUCGUCACACUAUCAUUAACUGAAUCCAUAGGUUAAUGAGGCGAACCGGGGGAACUGAAACAUCUAAGUACCCCGAGGAAAAGAAAUCAACCGAGAUUCCCCCAGUAGCGGCGAGCGAACGGGGAGGAGCCCAGAGCCUGAAUCAGUGUGUGUGUUAGUGGAAGCGUCUGGAAAGGCGCGCGAUACAGGGUGACAGCCCCGUACACAAAAAUGCACAUGCUGUGAGCUCGAUGAGUAGGGCGGGACACGUGGUAUCCUGUCUGAAUAUGGGGGGACCAUCCUCCAAGGCUAAAUACUCCUGACUGACCGAUAGUGAACCAGUACCGUGAGGGAAAGGCGAAAAGAACCCCGGCGAGGGGAGUGAAAAAGAACCUGAAACCGUGUACGUACAAGCAGUGGGAGCACGCUUAGGCGUGUGACUGCGUACCUUUUGUAUAAUGGGUCAGCGACUUAUAUUCUGUAGCAAGGUUAACCGAAUAGGGGAGCCGAAGGGAAACCGAGUCUUAACUGGGCGUUAAGUUGCAGGGUAUAGACCCGAAACCCGGUGAUCUAGCCAUGGGCAGGUUGAAGGUUGGGUAACACUAACUGGAGGACCGAACCGACUAAUGUUGAAAAAUUAGCGGAUGACUUGUGGCUGGGGGUGAAAGGCCAAUCAAACCGGGAGAUAGCUGGUUCUCCCCGAAAGCUAUUUAGGUAGCGCCUCGUGAAUUCAUCUCCGGGGGUAGAGCACUGUUUCGGCAAGGGGGUCAUCCCGACUUACCAACCCGAUGCAAACUGCGAAUACCGGAGAAUGUUAUCACGGGAGACACACGGCGGGUGCUAACGUCCGUCGUGAAGAGGGAAACAACCCAGACCGCCAGCUAAGGUCCCAAAGUCAUGGUUAAGUGGGAAACGAUGUGGGAAGGCCCAGACAGCCAGGAUGUUGGCUUAGAAGCAGCCAUCAUUUAAAGAAAGCGUAAUAGCUCACUGGUCGAGUCGGCCUGCGCGGAAGAUGUAACGGGGCUAAACCAUGCACCGAAGCUGCGGCAGCGACGCUGAUGCGUUGUUGGGUAGGGGAGCGUUCUGUAAGCCUGUGAAAGUGUGCUGUGAGGCAUGCUGGAGGUAUCAGAAGUGCGAAUGCUGACAUAAGUAACGAUAAAGCGGGUGAAAAGCCCGCUCGCCGGAAGACCAAGGGUUCCUGUCCAACGUUAAUCGGGGCAGGGUGAGUCGACCCCUAAGGCGAGGCCGAAAGGCGUAGUCGAUGGGAAACAGGUUAAUAUUCCUGUACUUGGUGUUACUGCGAAGGGGGGACGGAGAAGGCUAUGUUGGCCGGGCGACGGUUGUCCUGGUUUAAGCGUGUAGGCUGGUUUUCCAGGCAAAUCCGGAAAACUAAGGCUGAGGCGUGAUGACGAGGCACUACGGUGCUGAAGCAACAAAUGCCCUGCUUCCAGGAAAAGCCUCUAAGCAUCAGGUAACAUCAAAUCGUACCCCAAACCGACACAGGUGGUCAGGUAGAGAAUACCAAGGCGCUUGAGAGAACUCGGGUGAAGGAACUAGGCAAAAUGGUGCCGUAACUUCGGGAGAAGGCACGCUGAUAUGUAGGUGAAGUCCCUCGCGGAUGGAGCUGAAAUCAGUCGAAGAUACCAGCUGGCUGCAACUGUUUAUUAAAAACACAGCACUGUGCAAACACGAAAGUGGACGUAUACGGUGUGACGCCUGCCCGGUGCCGGAAGGUUAAUUGAUGGGGUCAGCGCAAGCGAAGCUCUUGAUCGAAGCCCCGGUAAACGGCGGCCGUAACUAUAACGGUCCUAAGGUAGCGAAAUUCCUUGUCGGGUAAGUUCCGACCUGCACGAAUGGCGUAAUGAUGGCCAGGCUGUCUCCACCCGAGACUCAGUGAAAUUGAACUCGCUGUGAAGAUGCAGUGUACCCGCGGCAAGACGGAAAGACCCCGUGAACCUUUACUAUAGCUUGACACUGAACAUUGAGCCUUGAUGUGUAGGAUAGGUGGGAGGCUUUGAAGUGUGGACGCCAGUCUGCAUGGAGCCGACCUUGAAAUACCACCCUUUAAUGUUUGAUGUUCUAACGUUGACCCGUGAUCCGGGUUGCGGACAGUGUCUGGUGGGUAGUUUGACUGGGGCGGUCUCCUCCUAAAGAGUAACGGAGGAGCACGAAGGUUGGCUAAUCCUGGUCGGACAUCAGGAGGUUAGUGCAAUGGCAUAAGCCAGCUUGACUGCGAGCGUGACGGCGCGAGCAGGUGCGAAAGCAGGUCAUAGUGAUCCGGUGGUUCUGAAUGGAAGGGCCAUCGCUCAACGGAUAAAAGGUACUCCGGGGAUAACAGGCUGAUACCGCCCAAGAGUUCAUAUCGACGGCGGUGUUUGGCACCUCGAUGUCGGCUCAUCACAUCCUGGGGCUGAAGUAGGUCCCAAGGGUAUGGCUGUUCGCCAUUUAAAGUGGUACGCGAGCUGGGUUUAGAACGUCGUGAGACAGUUCGGUCCCUAUCUGCCGUGGGCGCUGGAGAACUGAGGGGGGCUGCUCCUAGUACGAGAGGACCGGAGUGGACGCAUCACUGGUGUUCGGGUUGUCAUGCCAAUGGCACUGCCCGGUAGCUAAAUGCGGAAGAGAUAAGUGCUGAAAGCAUCUAAGCACGAAACUUGCCCCGAGAUGAGUUCUCCCUGACCCUUUAAGGGUCCUGAAGGAACGUUGAAGACGACGACGUUGAUAGGCCGGGUGUGUAAGCGCAGCGAUGCGUUGAGCUAACCGGUACUAAUGAACCGUGAGGCUUAACC
rnacentral:rRNA from 1 species